UAAUAGCUUGGAGGUCCCACCUGAUCCCUUCCCGAACUCAGAAGUGAAACUCCAAUGCGCCAAUGGUAGUGUGGUUCGCCCAUGUGAGAGUAGGUCAUCGUCAGCU
rnacentral:rRNA from 1 species